CUAUUCCUAAUUUUAUUCUAAAUGUUUUGUUUGUAUACAAAACAGAGGCUGUUCCUAACAUAUGUUGUGGUGGUUGCUACAGAUUCAUAUCAAAAUAACAAAUGAUCAUGUGGCUUCUCUAGUUGGCUUACUUUCACUUUCGUGUAUCUCUUAUUCGAAACAGAUGAGCUCACCAUUCGAAAGCUAGUUUUGAAAAACACUCAAUGUAUCACCGCCGCUCAUAUACGAACCUGCCUAAGGCUAGCUUCUCAAUACCCAAGCAACAAUUUUCAAACUUUUCGAGUUUCAGUAAAAUCGGAGAGCAACCAAAUUUUCUGUGCGGCUUUCCGUCGAAAACC